UUCGCUUUUGGUCUUAUUUCGUACCAUCUCUCGCUCACUUGUUCGCUCUUUCGCUCACCAACCCUUCUUCGCUUGCCUUUUCCGCAACGCAGUCGCGGGGGUGUUCAUCUGCUCAUAGAUCUGCGAAAUGUGCCUCUGAUCUUGAAUUGAUUUCCUCGUUGCGAGUUUAGGGGGACAGCAUCUAAAGAUUUCUGUGAUGGGAAAAUCUCCUGCAAAGUGGAUUAAAGCAGUUAUUUUUGGAAAGAGAUCAUCUAGAUCUCAUACUUCAAAAGGGAAAGAUGGUUUGAAACCUGGUGUUGAUAAAGAGCAUUUUUCUGGGGGAGAACCAUCUCAUGUCACAAUGAAAUCUCUGGUGAUUACUCAACCAGUUCUUGUAAGCAACAAUUCAAGUGGUCCAUCAUCAGAAAAUAGGACAGAUUCCACUUUAGUUACUGGAGCAGUUAGGGUUGAGAGCCAAGAAAUUGUUGUACAUCAAGCUUCAAGUAAUCCAGCCAAAGCCUUGGAAGAGCGUGCUGCUACAAAAGUUCAAGCUGCCUUCAGGGGUUAUCAGUCACGGAGGGUGUUCUGUGCAUUGAAGGGCAUCAUAAGACUGCAGGCUCUAAUUCGUGGGCACCUAGUGAGGCGUCAAGCAGUUACCACCCUGCAUUGCAUGUGGGGUAUUGUCAGAUUUCAAGCUCUUGUUCGCGGUCAGAGAGUCAGGCUUUCAGGUAUUGGCCUUGAAGUCAGAACAAAGUAUCCUCAAAUGAAGAGUGUGGAUGAUAAGAAGUUGGAUUUCUCGAAGAUGCAGCUGUCUGCGAAUCAAUUUGUUUGCAAGCUACUCUCAGCUCUGCCUGUUACAAAGCCUGUGCAGAUUCAUUAUGAUCCAGUGGAACCAAAUUCAGUCUUCAGUUGGCUGGAGCGCUGGACAUCCUCACAAUUUUGGAAUCCACUUCCUCAAUCAAAAAAGUCUGUCAAUGUGAAAUCUCGGGUGAGAUGCAGUAGUGCUGUGGAAAGUGAAUCUGUCAGAUUAAAAUCAAAUGUUCAUAAAAAUGUGGCUGCAAAGGUUGAUGUCAUGACUGAAUCAGAAAGGCAUAAACGUGUUACGAGGAAAAUGCUAAGCCCUCCUGCUGACUCUGUGGUAGAAAAUCCACAAUCUGAAAUUGAAAAGGUCAAGCGUAGUUUGAGAAAGGUAUCCAAUUCUAAAAAAGAGCCUGCUGAAAAGCCAGAAUCUGAAAAUCAGAAACCAACUUGCACUCCGAGAAAGGUGACAAACUCACUAUCUGAUGCUCCACAAGUGUCUAAUGAGCAUUCUUCAAUGAAGAUAAAAAAAGAUAGUGUAGUGUCUAUUGACAGUAAGCUUGAAAUAGUUGCUGCUGUAAAGUCCGUUGCAUCAGGUGGGCCUAAGAAUGCAGUAAUAGAUGACAGUACUGCGAUCAAACCGCAUAGCCCAGAAGAAAUCUGCAAAGAAGAGAGUAUUUCUAACUGUGAUGGAGAGUUAAGCUUGAAAGAUGUGCCAACUAGCAAUGAGAUCCAGAAGAGUAGCAAGAGAAGGGCUUCUUUCCCACCAAAGCCAGAACCUUUUGCAGAGAAUGCCUCGCAAAAUGCUCCAAGAUUACCAAGCUAUAUGGCAACUACUGAAUCAGCUAAGGCAAAGCUAAGAGGACAAGUUUCACCGAGGGUUGGAUCUGAUUCUGCAGAAAGAUAUAAUAUGCCUCGACGUCAUUCUCUGCCAACUUCCACGAAUGGAAAGUUAAACUUGCAAUCAUCACGUGCACAUAAGUUGAUCCAAGCAAGCUGCAAGGAUGGAAUUAGAAACGACAGAUCCUUUACAUCAUCAAGAGAUGGUAGUGGUAUGACCUGUCUAUCAUUCUGCUCAUACAUAUUUUGGUGUGGAUCUUCUAUCAUUAACUUCUAUCACCUUUCAUCUCCCAACCACCACCGUCCUAUGAUUUUCGGCCAUCAUACUUUGUUAUCUGACCAUUUUCCAUCGUCAUUCAUCGUUUGACCACUCCUACCUUCAUCUUUUAAAUAUUGUACAUCCUUCAAUCACCACAGUCCUUCAUACUUGUCUUCCCUCCAUCUUCUGAUAAAAAAUGGUCCAAGGCUUUGAUCAGUACACUGUAUUUGGUGGAUUAGGGAUGGAAGGUUGAAAAAUCUGAUCAUACCAAAACAAACUAUUCCUAAUGAUUUUAUCCCAACACAUCUUUGGAAUGCAGAACGGGAGAUCCUGUGUUGUUCUGAAUGUACUGGUGCGAAUAAGUAGACAUCCACACUUACCCCAAAGAAGUCGAUUCAAGUGGGAUGGAGGAGGUGACAUUGUCAGAGUGGUAAUUUAAAUUCUUCAAAGCGGAUAAGUUUUGCUACAGUCUUACACACCCUUACUGUUUGUUUUAUGGCGUAAGUUGUGCUGCAAUCCUACUUAGCUAAGUUGGAUCAUUACCGGUGUGGCGUGCAUACUGUUCCUCUUUGUCUCUUUCGUAUGUUGGAAAUCAUGUUACGGUGGGAUGUACAGCUUCAGUCCCUUUUGUGUGUUGCGUGGUUUUGUUUGGUCCGGUUGUUAUCGUUUUGUUUAUGUUAAGAGUUGUCGCAAAACAUGAAAUAUACCUUUUAUCAUAAAUGCCUUCCUUCACAAACA